rnacentral:rRNA from 1 species
AACGAACGUUAGCGGCGCGCUUAACACAUGCAAGUCGAACGAAGGCUUCGGCCUUAGUGGCGCACGGGUGCGUAACGCGUGGGAACCUGCCCCUCGGUUCGGAAUAACAGUUAGAAAUGACUGCUAAUACCGGAUGAUGACUUCGGUCCAAAGAUUUAUCGCCGAGGGAUGGGCCCGCGUAGGAUUAGCUAGUUGGUGGGGUAAAGGCCUACCAAGGCGACGAUCCUUAGCUGGUCUGAGAGGAUGAUCAGCCACACUGGGACUGAGACACGGCCCAGACUCCUACGGGAGGCAGCAGUGGGGAAUAUUGGACAAUGGGCGAAAGCCUGAUCCAGCAAUGCCGCGUGAGUGAUGAAGGCCUUAGGGUUGUAAAGCUCUUUUACCAGGGAUGAUAAUGACAGUACCUGGAGAAUAAGCUCCGGCUAACUCCGUG